AGUUCGUCCAAUAAAAUCAAGCUCUGCUGGAGUCUCACCUCAGGAGAGCACUGACUGGCUGGAGAUGAUGUGGGCAUUUGCAGCCAGUCUGGUAGCUCCUGAUGAGGAGGCGGAAGGUAUUCAUCCUCUAACCGAAAGCCUCACAUCUUUCCACUCAGAGGAACUCUGAAGGACAGGAAGUGGAAAAGAACCAGAGCUGGAGGAGAGAGGACAGAAAGGUUGAGACGGCUGUUACAGUGUUGCACAUUAAAUCGCAGUAAUGUUUUUUCUGUCUGUUGUUGAGCGGUAACUGAUGAUUUAAUUUGAUGAAUAAAAGAUUCCAAAUUGAAA